GUACCGUAAACCGACACAGGUAGUCGAGGAGAGUAUCCUCAGGCGCUCGAGUGAUCCGUGGCUAAGGAACUAGGCAAAAUGGUCUCGUAACUUCGGGAGAAGAGACGCCCUGCGCAAGCAGGGCCGCAGUGAAGAGGCCCAGGCGACUGUUUAGCAAAAACACAGGACUCUGCGAAAUCGAGAGAUGAAGUAUAGGGUCUGACACCUGCCCGGUGCUGGAAGGUUAAGGAAGGGGCUUAGUGCGCAAGUGCGAAGGUCUUAACUGAAGCCCCAGUAAACGGCGGCCGUAACAAUAACGGUCCUAAGGUAGCGAAAUUCCUUGUCGGGUAAGUUCCGACCUGCACGAAUGGUGUAACGAUCUGGGCACUGUCUCAGCCACGAGCUCGGUGAAAUUGAAGUAUCGGUGAAGAUGCCGAUUACCCGCAACGGGACGGAAAGACCCCGUGAACCUUUACUAUAGCUUCACAUUGAGCUUGGAUGCAAGAUGUGUAGGAUAGGUGGGAGACUAUGAGCUGUACACGCUAGUGUAUGGGGAGUCGUUGUUGAAAUACCACCCUUCUUGCCUUUAGGUUCUAAUCCCUAUACUAGGGAGACAGUGUGUGGUGGGUAGUUUGACUGGGGUGGUCGCCUCCAAAAGAGUAACGGAGGCUUGCAAAGGUACCCUCAGCAUGGUCGGUAAUCAUGCGCAGAGCGUAUUAGUAUAAGGGUGCUUGACUGAGGGACAGACAAGUCGAACAGGCACGAAAGUGGGCUAAAGUGAUCCGGUGUUUCCGCAUGGAAGGGACAUCGCUCAAAGGAUAAAAGGUACUCCGGGGAUAACAGGCUGAUCCUACCCAAGAGCUCAUAUCGACGGUAGGGUUUGGCACCUCGAUGUCGGCUCGUCACAUCCUGGGGCUGGAGAAGGUCCCAAGGGUUGGGCUGUUCGCCCAUUAAAGUGGCACGCGAGCUGGGUACAGAACGUCGCAAGACAGUUCGGUCCCUAUCUGUUGUGGGCGCAGGAAUAUUGAGGGGAGCUGACUCUAGUACGAGAGGACCGAGUUGGACGUACCUCUAGUGUACCGGUUGUGGCGCCAGCUGCAUCGCCGGGUAGCUAUGCACGGCAUGGAUAAGCGCUGAAAGCAUCUAAGCGCGAAGCCAUCCCCAAGAUGAGUAUUCCAUCACGCGAGUGAAAAGGGUCCCCGUAGACGACGGGGUUGAUAGGCUAUAGGUCGAAGUGCAGUAAUGUGCGUAGCCGAGUAGUACUAAUUGCCCGAAAGCUUCCUC
rnacentral:rRNA from 1 species